rnacentral:rRNA from 1 species
AGAGUUUGAUCAUGGCUCAGAACGAACGCUGGCGGCGUGCCUAACACAUGCAAGUCGAACGAGAAAUUCCGACUUCGGUUGGAAGAGUAAAGUGGCGCACGGGUGAGUAACGCGUGGGUAACCUGCCCUUAAAUCUGGGAUAACUUCGCGAAAGCAUUGCUAAUACCGGAUAUUAUUCCUGAGACUGUGGUCUUGGGAAUGAAAGGUGACCUCUUCAUGAAAGUUGCUGUUUAAGGAGGGGCUCGCGUACCAUUAGCUUGUUGGUGGGGUAAUGGCCUACCAAGGCGACGAUGGUUAGCUGGUCUGAGAGGAUGGCCAGCCACACUGGAACUGAAACACGGUCCAGACUCCUACGGGAGGCAGCAGUGAGGAAUUUUGCGCAAUGGGGGAAACCCUGACGCAGCAACGCCGCGUGAGUGAAGAAGGCCCUCGGGUCGUAAAGCUCUGUCAAGUGGAAAAAAAGACUUAUGGUUAAUAGCCAUAAGUCCUGAUGGUACUACGAGAGGAAGCACCGGCUAACUCCGUGCCAGCAGCCGCGGUAAUACGGAGGGUGCAAGCGUUGUUCGGAUUUACUGGGCGUAAAAGAGCGUGUAGGCGGUUUGGUAAGUCGGAUGUGAAAUCCCUGGGCUUAACCCAGGAAGUGCAUUUGAUACUGCCGUUCUUGAGUAUGGGAGAGGAGAGUGGAAUUCCCAGUGUAGAGGUGAAAUUCGUAGAUAUUGGGAGGAACACCCGUGGCGAAGACGACUCUCUGGACCAAUACUGACGCUGAGACGCGAAAGCGUGGGGAGCAAACAGGAUUAGAUACCCUAGUAGUCC